rnacentral:rRNA from 1 species
GAUGAACGCUGGCGGCAUGCCUAAUACAUGCAAGUCGAGCGAACAGACGAGGAGCUUGCUCCUCUGACGUUAGCGGCGGACGGGUGAGUAACACGUGGAUAACCUACCUAUAAGACUGGGAUAACUUCGGGAAACCGGAGCUAAUACCGGAUAAUAUAUUGAACCGCAUGGUUCAAUAGUGAAAGACGGUUUUGCUGUCACUUAUAGAUGGAUCCGCGCCGCAUUAGCUAGUUGGUAAGGUGACGGCUUACCAAGGCAACGAUGCGUAGCCGACCUGAGAGGGUGAUCGGCCACACUGGAACUGAGACACGGUCCAGACUCCUACGGGAGGCAGCAGUAGGGAAUCUUCCGCAAUGGGCGAAAGCUUGACGGAGCAACGCCGCGUGAGUGAUGAAGGUCUUCGGAUCGUAAAACUCUGUUAUUAGGGAAGAACAAAUGUGUAAGUAACUAUGCACGUCUUGACGGUACCUAAUCAGAAAGCCACGGCUAACUACGUG